CCACAAAUCAUUGCAUUGAUACAUUAGGUACAACAAAAUACAAAAACAAUAUUAAUACACAAUAUAUACACAAUGUAACAUAGAACAGGUAGGAAACAUAUAAUCAACCAUGACACGUGCAUUCUGUUUUGAGGUAUGUAGAGAGGGAUCUCUUAAAGGACUCUAGGCUUGGGGAAGAUUUUAAAGUGUGCGGGAGGUCGUUCCACAAUUGCGGUGAAACUCCCACCCUACCUGAACAAAAUGCUUUCCCCAGCUGUUCCCACUUUCUAUAAGCUCCGAUCCAGUACAAGUAUACAUUAUAUAUUUGUAAAAUCUGUUAAUAGAUAAACCACUUUCUGAAAAUUGCAAGUAUUAAAACAUAAUUACCAAUUACAGUAUUAAUAUUGGCUAUUACUUUACCUAAUAAUUAGGUGUGGUGUGUAUUAUUCCAUGUAUGGGUUUGUCACUCUGUGACUGUCCCUUUUUGGAUGCAUU